rnacentral:rRNA from 1 species
GAUGAACGCUGGCGGCGUGCCUAAUACAUGCAAGUCGAGCGAAUGGAUUAAGAGCUUGCUCUUAUGAAGUUAGCGGCGGACGGGUGAGUAACACGUGGGUAACCUGCCCAUAAGACUGGGAUAACUCCGGGAAACCGGGGCUAAUACCGGAUAACAUUUUGAACCGCAUGGUUCGAAAUUGAAAGGCGGCUUCGGCUGUCACUUAUGGAUGGACCCGCGUCGCAUUAGCUAGUUGGUGAGGUAACGGCUCACCAAGGCAACGAUGCGUAGCCGACCUGAGAGGGUGAUCGGCCACGCUGGGACUGAGACACGGCCCAGACUCCUACGGGAGGCAGCAGUAGGGAAUCUUCCGCAAUGGACGAAAGUCUGACGGAGCAACGACGCGUGAGUAAUGAAGGCUUUCGGGUCGUAAAACUCUGUUGUUAGGGAAGAACAAGUGCUAGUUGAAUAAGCUGGCACCUUGACGGUACCUAACCAGAAAGCCACGGCUAACUACGUGCCAGCAGCCGCCGUAA